CCUACGGGGGGCAGCAGUGGGGAAUAUUGCGCAAUGGGCGAAAGCCUGACGCAGCGACGCCGCGUGAGGGAUGAAGGUCUUCGGAUCGUAAACCUCUGUUAGCAGGGAAGAACGGUCACUGUGCUAAUCAGCAGUGAAUUGACGGUACCUGCAAAGGAAGCACCGGCUAACUCCGUGCCAGCAGCCGCGGUAAUACGGAGGGUGCGAGCGUUAAUCGGAAUUACUGGGCGUAAAGCGCUCGUAGGCGGUAUGUCAAGUCAAGGGUGAAAUCCCCGCGCUCAACGUGGGAACUGCCUUUGAAACUGGCAAACUGGAGUGUGUGAGAGGAAAGUGGAAUGCCAGGUGUAGGGGUGAAAUGCGUAGAUAUCUGGAGGAACAUCAGUGGCGAAGGCGACUAUCUGGCACAUAACUGACGCUGAGGAGCGAAAGCGUGGGUAGCAAACAGGAUUAGAUACCCCUGUAGUC
rnacentral:rRNA from 1 species